rnacentral:rRNA from 1 species
UACGGGGGGUGCGAGCGUUGUCCGGAAUCACUGGGCGUAAAGGGCGCGUAGGCGGCUUGGUAAGGGGGCGGUGAAAGCCCGGGGCUCAACCCCGGGUCUGCCGGACCGACUGCCGAGCUUGAGCACACUAGGGGCAGGUGGAAUUCCGGGUGUAGCGGUGGAAUGCGUAGAGAUCCGGAAGAACACCGGUGGCGAAGGCGGCCUGCCGGGGUGUGGCUGACGCUGAGGCGCGACAGCGUGGGGAGCAAACAGG